rnacentral:rRNA from 1 species
CUACGGGUCGCUGCAGUGAGGAAUAUUGGUCAAUGGGCGCAAGCCUGAACCAGCCAUGCCGCGUGCAGGAAGAAUGCCCUAUGGGUUGUAAACUGCUUUUAUUUGGGAAUAAACCUCUUUACGUGUAGAGAGCUGAAGGUACCAAAUGAAUAAGCACCGGCUAACUCCGUGCCAGCAGCCGCGGUAAUACGGAGGGUGCAAGCGUUAUCCGGAAUCAUUGGGUUUAAAGGGUCCGCAGGCGGAUUUAUAAGUCAGUGGUGAAAUCCUAUCGCUUAACGAUAGAACUGCCAUUGAUACUGUAAGUCUUGAAUUCGGUCGGAGUGGGCGGAAUGUGUAGUGUAGCGGUGAAAUGCAUAGAUAUUACACAGAACACCGAUAGCGAAGGCAGCUCACUAGGCCUGAAUUGACGCUCAGGGACGAAAGCGUGGGGAUCAAACAGGAUUAGAUACCCGCGUAGUC